UUGAAUCAAUCGCACAAACUCAUCAACUCUCAGACACUCAAACAUCAACAACAACGGUAUAGUUUCACUGCUCUGGUGAAGAUCUGAGACUGAGAGAUUAUUCUUCUCUCUUGAAUCCAUUGUGAUAUGUCAGAUAGACAAAUUAAUCUUACUUCUCCAGAGCAAGAUUCUUGUACACCGUUUUCAUCAUUUGAGGAGUCAUCCACUAGUCCACUGAUGGAUACAGUUAACGAAGAUGCAAAUGAUGUCGAUAAUUUAAUUGAAUUAGAGGAAAAUGCAAGAGAAAAUGGAGUUCCCGAAGAUAACAAUUCAUUCCAAAAGAAGAGUAGGAAACGAACAUCAAAAGUUUGGAAUGAAAUUAAAGAAGUGGUUCUUCCAGAUGGUACCAAGAAGGCUGAAUGCAUGCAUUGCAAAACAAGAUUUGCCAUUCCUCCAACGGGUGCUACAACUCAACUUCUUAGGCACUUGAACAGUUGUGCUAGACGACAACUUGCUGACAAAAAGCAAAGGCUUCUAUCACUUGAGACAACCGGAUCUGACAAUGUGACCAAUGUGGCAGCCUUCAAGUAUGACCAAGCAAAGGUGAGGGAAGCUGCUUCUCAUAUGAUACUUUAUCAUGAAUAUCCUUUUAUGCAAAUGGAGCAUGUUUUAUUUAACAAGUUCAUGAAAACUGCUACUGCACAUUGGCAAAAGAUAACUUGUACCACCGCAAAAAAUGAUUGUGUGUCGACUUAUGAUAUAGAAAAGAAGAAGUUGAAAACAUUAUUGAAGAGUGUUAAUAGGAUUAGAAUUACAACCGACCUAUGGAAGUCAGGGCAAAAAAUUCAAUACAUGGUAGUCACGGGUCAUUUUAUUGAUAAUGAGUGGAAGUUGCAAAAGCGUGUUCUUAACUUUUGCAAUGUACCACCUCCGCACACUGGGGUUAUCAUUGCGGAUGCUCUUCACAAGUGUCUAGUUGAAUGGGGCAUUGAAAAUAAGGUGUGUACUAUAACAGUAGAUAAUGCUUCAUACAAUGAUGUUUGCUUGAGAAUUUUGAAAGAAACCUUUGCAAUGAAAAAGAAGUUGCUUUUGGGUGGAAAAAUUUUUCAUGUACGUUGUUGUGCCCACAUAGUGAAUAUUAUGGUGCAUGAUGGGCUUGGCCAAAUAGGAGAUAUUGUUGAUGGUGUUCGAGAUGGUGUCAAGUACUUGAGUGCAUCAGAAGCACGUUUUAAUCAAUUUAGUGAGAUUGCUAAGCAAUUGCAGUUGCCUUCAAAAAAAUUGAUUUUAGAUUGUCCAACCUGAUGGAAUGCAACUUAUAUGAUGUUGUCUGCUGCUUUGGAGUUUAAAGAUGUCUUCCCUAGACAUCAAGAAAGGGAUCCAAGUUUUGUUUACGUGCCUAGCCUUGAAGAUUGGGUGAAAGUUGAGACUAUAUGUCAAUUUUUGGCAAUUUUCAAUGAAGUCACAAAUAUCAUCUCCUGGAGUGAAUAUCCUACUUCUAAUUUGUUCCUUGCAGAGGUUUGGAGGAUAAAAGAAAUAUUGAAUGAGAAGUCGGUGGAUGACAAUGACUACAUUAAGGCAAUGGCUUUGAAGAUGAAAAGAAAAUUUGACAAGUAUUGGGGUGAAUGUAAUUUGUUGAUGGCUAUAGCUGCAGUGUUGGAUCCGAGAUUCAAAUUGAUGCUUGUUCAGUUUUGUUUUCCAGAGAUCUACCCAGAGGCAGAAGCUACUAGAAACAUUUCCAUGGUGCGUGACGCCCUAUAUGAGCUUUACAAUGAAUAUGUUGUUAUUCAUACUUCAAGUAACAAUGAGCAAACUUUGCAGCAAAGCACUCAAGAAGCUAAUGAUUCUAGUAAUGCUACUUAUGGUUCUGGAAAAGCACUCGGGACGGGAAGAUCUAAAUUUGAAUCUUUUGUUAGAAAAGCUGACACAAUUCAGCCUGCAAAAUCUGACUUGGACAUUUAUUUAGAAGAAAGUGUUUACAUAUGCAAUGAAGGUUCAAAUUCCCAUUUUGAUGCAUUGGAGUGGUGGAAAGUAAACAACCUCAAGUAUCGAAUAUUGUCCAAGAUGGCAGUGAUAUAUUGUCAAUUCCAAUCAGUACAGUGGCGUCGGAGUCGACAUUUAGUGCUGGUGGUAGAGUUAUUGAUCCCUAUCGAGCAUCAUUAUCAACGGAAACAGUCCAAAUCUUACUAUGUGGAUCUGACUGGGUACGUGCACUACAUGGACUCAAAAAGGGAUCAGAUACUAUGGAGUCAUCUUUCAAAGAGAUUUUGUUUCCUUAGUUUGACAUCUUUGGGUUGAAGGCUCCUAUGAAGUUUCCAAAGGAAUGAAGACUUUUUGGUGUGUUUUCAAGUAAAUCAAGUCAAGAAAUUAGUGGUUUAGUUUUUGGUUAUUAUGUUUUGUUUAAGAAUGCAUUGUGUAAUGUCUUGUGUAAUGUGUUGUGUAAUGUGUUUUAUUUAAGGAUGCACCAUAUUUUUGGCAAUUAUGUUUUGUUCAAGGAUGCAUUGUUUAAUGCAUUGUGUAAUGCACAGAUU